rnacentral:rRNA from 1 species
UACGAAGGGGGCUAGCGUUGCUCGGAUUGACUGGGCGUAAAGGGCGCGUAGGCGGUUCGUACAGUCAGACGUGAAAUUCCUGGGCUCAACCUGGGGGCUGCGUUUGAUACGUGCGGACUUGAGUGCGGAAGAGGGUCGUGGAAUUCCCAGUGUAGAGGUGAAAUUCGUAGAUAUUGGGAAGAACACCGGUGGCGAAGGCGGCGACCUGGUCCGAUACUGACGCUGAGGCGCGAAAGCGUGGGAAGCAAACAGG